AUGAAACGAAACCAUAAAUUCAGCAGAUGGCUCCCCAUUAUCGGCAAUACGAACGAAAAAUAGGUUCAGCGUAUUGCAUUCGCAAGAGUCCUGCCUAUCUCGGAUACAGCAACACCCUCAAAUAGGAACAAUAAAAGAAACCAUCAUAAUAAGGAAAAAGAACGAAAACCUACGGAAGAAAGCAAGUAGUCAUACGGCCUCUCAGGAAAUCACAGGGAAAUCACAUGUGCGAAAGAGAAUAAAGGAUGGAUCGAGAGAGAGAUAUA
rnacentral:misc_RNA from 1 species